rnacentral:rRNA from 1 species
UACGUAGGGGGCAAGCGUUGUCCGGAUUAUUGGGCGUAAAGAGCGUGUAGGCGGCUAGAUAGGUCCGUUGUGAAAACUCGAGGCUCAACCUCGAGACGUCGAUGGAAACCAUCUAGCUAGAGUCCGGAAGAGGAGAGUGGAAUUCCUGGUGUAGCGGUGAAAUGCGCAGAUAUCAGGAAGAACACCCGUGGCGAAGGCGGCUCUCUGGUACGUGACUGACGCUGAGACGCGAAAGCGUGGGGAGCAAAACAGG